UACUUGCGAGGGUCGGCUUACUGCUAAGGGGUGCGCUAAUUACAGACCCCGAACUGAGUUGUAAAAAAAAAAAAAAUCCGGAAGCCGCGAGCCCGCAGCUUGCAAACUGCCGGUUUCUCCCAGCUCCAUGGUUGGCGUGUGACCUUUCUACACUCUGGAGGACUCAGAAAGCAAGACCAAUGAGCCGAUCGCUCCUGUGCGCAGGACAAUAAAACUGGGUUCCCAUUGGUCAGUAUCGCAAGAGCCCGCCCAACAACUUCCGGAAAGCCUUCUUUAAGUUAAGGUCUCGCGACCAUUUCUGCCUCUUAGCGACCGGCCGACGGCGAAGAUCUGCCCGGUGGAGGACAGCAGACAGCGUGGACCUCUCCACCCUUCCCCCAAGCCUCUGAAUAAAGUGUGUUUGACUCUAA